ensembl:lncRNA
CAUUCAUCCUAGAGAGAUGCAAACUAUGUUCACACAAAACUGAAUAUUCAUUGAAGCUUUAUUCAUAAUAAUAAACCCUGAAAACAGUUGAGUGCUCUUCAACAGGUAAAUUGUUAAACAAACUGUCGUGUAUCUAUACCAUGGAACACUACUCAGUAAUGAAGAGGAAUUAACUACUGAUAUAUGCAGAAACUUGGGUGUAUCAAUAAUUGAGUGAGAAAAAAUCUAUUCCCAAAAGAUGACAUAAUGCAUGAUUCCUUUCUGUAAUGUUUAAAACGAUAACAUUUUAGAAAUGGAGGACAUGUCAGUGGUUAAGUACAGGGUGAGGCAGAAGCAAGCUGGGUAUGAUUUUAAAAGAGCAGGAUAAGGUAUCUUUGUAGUGUUAGAAGUGUUAUCUUGACUUUGGUUGAGGAUACAAGAACCUUUAAAGGUGACAAAAUCGUAUAGAACUAAAUACACACAGACACAGACACACACAUACAUGUACUAGUAAAACUGGCAAUCUGAAUAAUAUAGGGGUAUUAUAUAAAUGUUAACAAUUAUAGUCAUAUAAUAUUGUUAACUCAUAUAAUUAUAUGAGUUUUGCCAAAGGUGACCACUAAGGGAAGCAUGAAAAAUUUUACACAAGAGAUUUCUGUAUUAUUUCUUAUAACUGCAUGUGAAUCCACAAUUGUAUUAAUACAGAAUUGAAAUAAAAUUUUGGAUACAAAUAAAUAAAAUGUACAGAGUAUCCUCCACUCCUGAAAGUGCUACCACUCGGGUAUCUGAGGAAAAUGUACACAAGGUCUAAGAAUAUAACAAAACAUAAUGCCUCGUCGUGUUUGGGCACAAUAUGCGUGAUGGUGAGUGUACCACUUUGCUCAAAAUGCUAAACCAUUCCACUUUUGUUGUGGAUUCGAAGGAAGAUCUAUUUCAUUUAUAUGAAUAUAACUCAGCCAGACAGUGUGAAGAAUAUAUCAAAUCCUGCAGAGACAGCACACCCGGUGAGAAUUUGCUCAGUAAAUUUGUGCCAGGGAGGCAGAUUGAUUAUCUGGUUUCCCGUUUCAAGUGUCUUCCACUGUAUUUAUAGGUAGCUGUAAGUUGUCGGUUGUUUUCUUGUGGAAAUGUAAAUAGCCAACCAGUUGGUACUCUCUUGGUUGACCUAUGUAGCAAGAAUACGUGAAGUCAGCAGUAAAGGCCCUGAUUUAUUUUUAGUGGUAACCCUUUCCCAUGCCACAUAAGGUUUCAGUAUAAUCAAAAGUGCUAGCAGACAACUGCAGUUAUAUUUGACAUCCUUGACUGGACGAAUUUGUUUAAGUCCUUCAAACCUCUCCUUUCCUUGUGGGCCACUCAUGUGUCUUCUUGGCCAGUGUAUCGAAUUAUAUUUCCUUAUAAGGUAGUCACUAGCCACAUGUGGCUAUUUAAAGUGUAAAUCAAUUGAAAUUAAAUGAAAUAAAAUAUGUAGCUCUUGUAUCACAAUAGCCAUAUUUCCAGUGCUCAGUAACCAAUAACAAGUGCUCUGAUAUUUUAUGCUUUCAUGCUUCUGUUAUGAGAACAAACUAUUUCCAAAAAAUUCUAUGACAAAAGAAAGAAUUGGGCUGGGCGCAGUGGCUCAUGCCUGUAAACCCAGCACUUUGGGAGGCCGAGGCAGGCAGAUCACAAGGUCAUGAGAUCAAGACCAUCCCGGCUAACAUGGUGAAACCCUAUCUCUACUAAAAUACAAAAAAUUAGCCGGGCAUGGCGGGCAGGUGCCUGUAGUCCCAGCUAUUCCGGAGGCUGAGGCAAGGGAAAUCUCUUGAACCUAGGAGGCGGAGGUUGCAGUGAGCCAAGAUUGCACCACUGCACUCCAGCCUGGUGACAGAGCAAGACUCCGUCUCAAAAAAAAAAA